rnacentral:lncRNA from 1 species
CACAAAUGGGCGGCCAUUGGAUGUGGGACACGCCAAGAACUGGCAGCCAUUGGAGAUUUGGACAACCCAAGAUGGCGGCUAUUGGUGACACAAGAUGGCGGCCAUUGGGUUUGGACACCCAAGAUGGCGGCCAUUGGUGACACAAGAUGGCGGCCAUUGGCUUUGGACACCCAAGAUGGCGGCCAUUGGAUUUGGACACCCAAGAUGGCGGCUAUUGGUGACACAAGAUGGCGGCCAUUGAACAUGGACACUCAAGAUGGCGGCAUUGAAAAUUGGAAUAUUAGCUUUGGGGACAACAAGAUGGCGGCCAUUGGUGACACAAGAUGGCGGCCAUUGGCUUUGGACACCCAAGAUGGCGGCCAUUGCCAUUGGAUAUUGGCUUUGGUGACACAAGAUGGCGGCCAUUGGCUUUGGACACCCAAGAUGGCGGCCAUUGGUGACACAAGAUGGCAGCCAUUGGCUUUGGACACUGAAGAUGGCGGCCAAUGGACCCAUCAGAAAGCCAAUAUGGUCAUAAAUUGGACCCAAUCGAGAAACCAAUUGGACCCAUCAGAACCCUUGGGACCCAUCAGAACCCAUUGGGACCCAUCAAACCAAAUUGGACCAUCAGAACCAUUGGACCCAUCAGAACCGAAUUGGGACCAUCAGAACGCCAUUGGACCAUCAGAACCAAUUGGACCCAUAUCAAAGCAACCAAUUGCGGUCAGCAAUGGACCCAGUCAGCCCCAUUGGACCCAUCAGAACCAAUUGGACCCAUCAGAACCAAUUGGGACCCAUCAGAACCCAUUGGACCCAUCAGAACCAAUUGGGACCCAUCAGAACCCAUUGGGCCCAUCAGAACCCAUUGGACCCAUCAGAACCAAUAUUGGGUCAGCAUUGGACCCAUCAGAACCCAUUGGACCCAUCAGAACCCAUUGGGACCCAUCAGAACCCAUUGGGACCCAUCAGAACCAAUUGGGACCCAUCAGAACCAAUAUUGGGUCAGCAUUGGACCCAUCAGAACCCAUUGGGACCCAUCAGACCCAUUGGGACCCAUUCAGAAUCCAAAUUGGACCAUCAGAAAACCCAUUGGACCCAUCAGAACCAAUUGGACCCAUCAGAACCAAUUGGACCCAUCAGAACCCAAUAUUGGGUCAGCAUUGGACCCAUCAGAACCAAUUGGACCCAUCAGAACCAAUUGGGACCCAUCAGAACCAAUUGGACCCAUCAGAACCCAUUGGACCCAUCAGAACCAAUUGGACCCAUCAGAACCCCAUUGGACCCAUGCAAACCAAUAUUGGGUCAGCCAUUUGGACCCCAAUCAGAACCCAUUGGGACCCCAUCAGAACCCAUUGGACCAUCAGAACCAAUUGGGAACCCAUCAGACCAUAUGGACCAUCAGAACCAAUUGGACCCAU